GCUUGCUUCGGCAACACAUGUACUAAAAUUGGAACGAUACAGAGAAGAUUAGCAUGGCCCUUGUGCAAGGAUAAAUAAAAAUAAUACAAAUAAAUAAAUAAAUAU